UAGGGAAUCUUCCGCAAUGGGCGAAAGCCUGACGGAGCAACGCCGCGUGAGUGAUGAAGGUCUUCGGAUCGUAAAACUCUGUUAUUAGGGAAGCACAAAUGUGUAAGUAACUAUGCACGUCUUGACGGUACCUAAUCAGAAAGCCACGGCUAACUACGUGCCAGCAGCCGCGGUAAUACGUAGGUGGCAAGCGUUAUCCGGAAUUAUUGGGCGUAAAGCGCGCGUAGGCGGUUUUUUAAGUCUGAUGUGAAAGCCCACGGCUCAACCGUUGAGGGUCAUUGGAAACUGGAAAACUUGAGUGCAGAAGAGGAAAGUGGAAUUCCAUGUGUAGCGGUAAAAUGCGCAGAGAUAUGGAGGAACACCAGUGGCGAAGGCGACUUUCUGGUCUGUAACUGACGCUGAUGUGCGAAAGCGUGGGGAUCAAACAGG
rnacentral:rRNA from 1 species